CUUCACCCCCCACCGCCCCGGUCCGUACAUCUUUGUCUAAAUUCGCUCCUCUGCGUUCCCUUCUCUGGUUGUUGUCGCUUUAAUUCCGCGCUGAUUUACGCGGAGCGCUUUGCGGCGCGGGAGGACAGCGGGAAAUGUCCGUUCUGUUCGCUGGAAUCGACGCUGCUAGAGCUGUUUAACGCCGGGACAGCGGGACGGCCGCUUAGUGCGGAGCGCGGCGCGGCGCAGCGCGGACCCCCGCGCGUCCCCCGACGACCCCCAACCAGCAGCCACCGCAAACACAACUCUCAGCCAAGAGCACAAAGAGCCCCGACCAUUUCGCGGUGACUGAUUUAUGGCGUUUUACAACCCCAUAAAAAGCUGUAACAACCAGCCAAAAGCCUUCGACACCGCUGGCACAUUUAGUCUAAUAAAUAAAACAUAAACAGUUAACUUUAUGUGUCACUUUUAUUGUUAUCAAGUAAAAUAUGGCAAUGCCUUGCAAGCGAUGAUUUUCAGCUAUAAUUGUUAUCAAGCGCGAGGAGGGAAUACCCCACCUCCCUCCUCUGCCCCUCUCUUUAGUGCCAACCAUAGAUAAACAGCUCUAAUUGGGGGAGCUCCGACCCUCCCCAAAUGUUCACAUCCGCUCGCUGCUCCCUAACCUGCCCGGGGUUGACGCCUGGGAGCCAUUUUUAAAGCAUCUCUUUGGUUUUAUCUCUCUCCCCCCCCCCACCCCAUACACACACACACGAACACAACCCCGACCCCGAAUAAAGAUAAAUCCCAAAGAGCCUCUCCCCAUGGAGGGUGAGCAGGUGAGCGCCCAUCGCGAGGGCGAAGCGGCUCCGGGCUGCACACACACGCGUGUGUUGCACACGAGUGGGUGUGGGGCUGCUCCCCCUGCCCCCCCAUACACACACGCAGACCCCCGUGUGCGCCCCCAGGGCAAAGCAGUGCUCCCCGCAUUGCCCCCCCCCCAUACCCCUCUGUGCUCCUAUGGAUGAUUUGGGGAGCACGAUGGGGUCUCCUGUUUGCAAUUGGGGG
ensembl:lncRNA